rnacentral:rRNA from 1 species
GUCCACGCCGUAAACGAUGAGUGCUAGGUGUGGGGGGUGGUCGACUCCCUCCGUGCCGAAGCUAACGCAUUAAGCACUCCGCCUGGGGAGGUACGGCCGCAAGGCUAAAACUCAAAGGAAUUGACGGGGGCCCCGGCACAAGCAGCGGAGCAUGUGGUUUAAUUCGACGCGACGCGAAGAACCUUACCAAGGCUUGACAUCUACUGGAAAAGCGUGGAAACACGUUCCCUCUUCGGAGCUAGUAGACAGGUGGUGCAUGGCUGUCGU